rnacentral:rRNA from 1 species
AUUGAACGCUGGCGGCAGGCCUAACACAUGCAAGUCGAGCGAGCGGCGGACGGGUGAGUAAUGUCUGGGAAACUGCCUGAUGGAGGGGGAUAACUACUGGAAACGGUAGCUAAUACCGCAUACUAUCAGUUUAGCCUAAGUCGGAUUAGCUAGUUGGUGGGGUACAGGCCUACCAAGGCGACGACCCGUAACUGGUCUGAGAGGAUGAUCAGUCACACUGGAACUGAGACACGGUCCAGACUCCUACGGGAGGCAGCAGUGGGGAAUAUUGGACAAUGGGCGCAAGCCUGAUGCAGCCAUGCCGCGUGUGUGAAGAAGGCCUUCGGGUUGUAAAGUACUUUCAGCGGGGAGGCGUUACCCGCAGAAGAAGCACCGGCUAACUCCGUGCCAGCAGCCGCGGUAAUUC